rnacentral:rRNA from 1 species
AUUGAACGCUGGCGGCAGGCCUAACACAUGCAAGUCGAGCGGAUGAAGGGAGCUUGCUCCUGGAUUCAGCGGCGGACGGGUGAGUAAUGCCUAGGAAUCUGCCUGGUAGUGGGGGAUAACGUCCGGAAACGGGCGCUAAUACCGCAUACGUCCUGAGGGAGAAAGUGGGGGAUCUUCGGACCUCACGCUAUCAGAUGAGCCUAGGUCGGAUUAGCUAGUUGGUGGGGUAAAGGCCUACCAAGGCGACCCGUAACUGGUCUGAGAGGAUGAUCAGUCACACUGGAACUGAGACACGGUCCAGACUCCUACGGGAGGCAGCAGUGGGGAAUAUUGGACAAUGGGCGAAAGCCUGAUCCAGCCAUGCCGCGUGUGUGAAGAAGGUCUUCGGAUUGUAAAGCACUUUAAGUUGGGAGGAAGGGCAGUAAGUUAAUACCUUGCUGUUUUGACGUUACCAACAGAAUAAGCACCGGCUAACUUCGUG